rnacentral:rRNA from 1 species
GACGAACGCUGGCGGCGUGCUUAACACAUGCAAGUCGAACGGCAAGGCACUGCUUUUGUGCGGUGCUCGAGUGGCGAACGGGUGAGUAACACGUGAGUAACCUGCUCUUCACUUUGGGAUAACUUAAGGAAACUGGGCCUACUACCGGAUAGGAGCUCCCGUUGCAUGGAAGGGGUUGGAAAGUUUCGGCGGUCGGGGAUGGACUCGCGGCUUAUCGACUAGUUGGUGGGGUAGUGGCUUACCAAGGCAUUGACGGGUAGCCGGCCUGUGAGGGUGACCGGCCACAAUGGUACUGCGGUACGGCCCAGACUCCUAUGGUAGGCAGCAGUGGGGAAUAUUGCACAGUGGGCGGAAGCCUGAUGCGGCGACGCUGCGUGUGGGAUGACGGUCUUCGGGUUGUGAACCGCUUUCGCCUGUGACGCAGCUUUUGUGACGGUAAUGGGUAAAGAAGCACCGGCUAACUACGUG